ACCCCAGACUCCUACGGGAGGCAGCAGUGGGGAAUAUUGCACAAUGGGGGAACCCUGAUGCAGCGACGCCGCGUGGGUGAAGAUGUAUUUCGGUAUGUAAAGCCCUAUCGGCAGGGAAGAAAUUGGACGGUACCUGACUAAGAAGCCCCGGCUAACUACGUGCCAGCAGCCGCGGGAAUACGUAGGGGGCAAGCGUUAUCCGGAUUCACUGGGUGUAAAGGGAGCGUAGACGGCCAUGCAAGCCUGGAGUGAAAGCCCGGGGCCCAACCCCGGGACUGCUCUUGGAACUGCGUGGCUGGAGUGCAGGAGGGGCAGGCGGAAUUCCUGGUGUAGCGGUGAGAUGCGUAGAUAUCAGGAGGAACACCGGUGGCGAAGGCGGCCUGCUGGACUGCAACUGACGUUGAGGCCCGAAAGCGUGGGGAGCAAACAGGAUUAGAUACCCCAGUA
rnacentral:rRNA from 1 species